rnacentral:rRNA from 1 species
UGCCAGCCGCCGCGGUAAUACGGAGAAGGCUAGCGUUGUUCGGAAUUACUGGGCGUAAAGCGCACGUAGGCGGACUAUUAAGUCAGGGGUGAAAUCCCGGGGCUCAACCCCGGAACUGCCUCUGGUAUUGGUAGUCUUGAGUUCGAGAGAGGUGAGUGGAAUUCCGAGUGUAGCGGUGAAAUGCGUAGAUAUGUAGAGGAACACCAAUAACGAAGGUAACUCACUAGGCUAUUACUGACGCUGAGGUACGAAAGCCAGGGGAGCGAAUGGGAUUAGAUA